GGCUUAUUUUGCCCAGGCGGAGCUCGACCGCCCGUUCAGACGAUGAUCGCCUUCAUCGACGAGUAUCGUGGGGAGUAUGGGGUCGAGCCGAUCUGCCGGGUUUUGCCGAUCGCCCCA
rfam:Sphingomonas sp. WG contig_76, whole genome shotgun sequence.